AUAGAGCAACAGCUUCUAUACAGUUUUAAGUAGGCCCCGGUAAUCUUCGACUCCGCCAAGAAUUGAAAGAUUUCCGGGGUUUUUGCUU
rnacentral:antisense_RNA from 12 species